ACGUAGGGACCAAGCGUUGUUCGGAUUUACUGGGCGUAAAGGGCGCGUAGGCGGCAAUUCAAGUCAGCUGUGAAAUCUCCGGGCUUAACUCGGAACGGUCAGCUGAUACUGUGCGACUAGAGUGCAGAAGGGGCAACUGGAAUUCUCGGUGUAGCGGUGAAAUGCGUAGAUAUCGAGAGGAACACCUGCGGCGAAGGCGGGUUGCUGGGCUGACACUGACGCUGAGGCGCGAAAGCCAGGGGAGCGAACGGGA
rnacentral:rRNA from 1 species